rnacentral:misc_RNA from 1 species
CCCACAGGCGAUGGUGAGCGUGAAGCUCGUUGCAGCUGAGGGUGUGGGGACCAUUGCCGCCGGCGUCGCCAAGGCGAAGGCCGACCACAUAACCAUCUCGGGGCACGACGGCGGCACCGGGGCCUUGCCGCUCUCCUCGAUCAAGUACGCGGGGCUGCCGUGGGAACUCGGUAUCGCCGAGGCCCAGCAGGUACUGGUCGAGAACGACCUGCGCGGACGCAUAGUCCUGCAGACCGACGCCCAGAUGAAGACGGGGCGCGACGUGGUAAUGGCCGC